rnacentral:rRNA from 1 species
AUUGAACGCUGGCGGCAUGCCUUACACAUGCAAGUCGAACGGUAACAGGUCUUCUGCUGCUGACGAGUGGCGAACGGGUGCGUAAUACAUCGGAACGUGCCCGAUCGUGGGGGAUAACGAAGCGAAAGCUUUGCUAAUACCGCAUAAGAUCUACGGAUGAAAUCAGGGGACCGCAAGGCCUUGCGCUAACGGAGCGGCCGAUGGCAGAUUAGGUAGUUGGUGGGAUAAAAGCUUACCAAGCCGACGAUCUGUAGCUGGUCUGAGUGGAAGACCAGCGACACUGGGACGGAGACACGGCCAAGACUCAUACGGGAGGCAGCAGUGGGGAAUUUUGGACAAUGGGAGAAAGCCUGAUCAAGACAUGCCGCGUGAAGGAUGAAGGCCUUCGGGUUGUAAACUGCUUUUGUACGGAACGAAAAGACUCUGGUUAAUACAUGGGGUACAUGACGGUACCGUAAGAAUAAGAACCGGCUAACUAAGUG